rnacentral:lncRNA from 1 species
CUGGAGUUGCUUUUCAGAGGAGUAAUGUGAUAGUGGAAGUAAGUGCUUGCUAAAUGCUGAGCGCUGUACUUUGGGCUUUCCUUGCCUUAUCUAAUUCUCCUCUUACCCUCUAGUAAGCAUAGCUGUUCUCAUUUUAUUAAUGAGGAAGCUGAGGCUUGGAGUAACUUGGCCACUUAUCUGAAAUAACUCAGCUGCUAGGGGUCAGAACUGAUGUGUGACUGCAGUUCCCUGUGACAGACAGCCCAGUUCCUGGUCUCUGAGGCUUGGGAACUCCCCUGGCUUUCCCUCCAAGGCCCAUGUCACCAGCUGCUAUGAAGCGAUCAGUGAGACUGCGUCACUUGGCUGAUUUCCUGCUUCCUGCU